GCGCCUGUACGUCUUUUUGUUAGCACACAUAUUGUGGUCACAAGCUGAAAUUUGUCAUGCGCCAUAACUCGUAACCAACCUGCUGUAGCCAGUUGAUCAAGAUCUUCUGCCAUGGCUGCUCCUAGUGUAACACUCAACAACGGUGAGAAGAUACCAGUUCUUGGCCUUGGCACCUGGCAAGGCCUCGAUGACCCAGGUGUCGUGGAACAAGCUGUUAAAGAUGCUAUCGAUGCUGGAUACCGACACUUUGACUGUGCCAUGAAAUAUGGCAACGAGGAUGUCAUUGGCAAGGCAAUUCGAGAAAAAAUUUCCGAGGGAGUAGUCAAAAGAGAAGAUCUUUACAUUGUUACAAAACUCUGGAAUGACAAGCACAAAAAAAAGGAUGUCAUCGAAACAUGCAAGAAAUCUUUGGAAAACUUUGGAUUUGACUACAUCGACUUGUACCUGAUACACUGGCCGAUUUCAGUCGAAGAAGCAACCGGUGACUUAUUCUCUGGAAAGUUCGUCGAUAUCCCGCUCGAGGAAACAUGGGAGGGAAUGGAGGAGUGUCAUCGUCUGGGUUACACCAAGAGCAUAGGCCUCAGCAACUUCAACUCGGUGCAGAUAGACCGCAUCCUGAAAGUGGCAAAAGUUAAGCCGGUUGUUAACCAGGUCGAGUGCCAUCCAAACUUGAACCAGAAGAAAUUACGCGACUUCUGCGCAGCCCGAGGAAUAGUUAUAACUAGUUACAGCCCCCUCGGCGCUCCUCGCAGGUCUUGGUUUAAGCCAGGCGACCCCCUCGUGGUAAUUGACGAACCGGAAAUCGUCGCGAUAGGAAAGAAAUACGGCAAAAGUCCUGCUCAAGUCGUGCUUCGAUAUCUGAUUGACAUCGGCACCGUCCCAAUUCCAAAGUCCAGCUCGAAGAAACGCAUCCAGGAGAAUAUCAACCUGUUCGACUUCAAACUGACCCCCGAGGAGGUGGCGACAAUCGACAAGUUCGACAUUGGCGUUAGAGUUACCCCAGUUGAAGAGUUCACUGGUCAUCCGGAAUAUCCAUUCCGUAUUGAGUUUUGAGGAUUUUGCUGUUUUAAAACUUUACUUAAGCAGCCCUACUGCUACAUUUGAUUUUAUUUCUUUUACACCAUAAUGUUAUAACUAAAUUCUAGAUCGCAGUAUUUCCUUAGCGUGCCAAAUUACAAACAUUGUCAAUUGUGAAAGAAAAUAUCUUCAAUCAAUAACUACGAACUGGUACAUCCUGAUUCCACAAAUGAUGCUUCACUUUUAGCGAAUGAAAACACAGACACAAACGAAGAUGACCCAAACAGCGUUUAAGAAGGUGAAUCAGAUUUGUGUACAUCGUGGAGGACGUCGGUUAUUGCCAAGUGGAAUAUUUCUCGUUCGUCAGAGAUUCUUAAUCCCUGCAUUCAAAGGAGCCUUACAGUGUAGAAAUUGGAAUAUCAUACUGGUCAUCAUCAAAAUAUAACUGGAGUGAAAUGACUCCACGUAAAAGGCUGCUGUCCCUCCAAUUGCAGACAGAGAUUUCCCCGAUUUACAAAAACGCGACUGACGACCCGCGAUUCACGUGGUCAGCAAGGAAAACCGGAUUAAAAUACUGGCCAAUCACACAGUGUAUUCGAUUUUCAACAACUCCAGUGGAGAUGGUAAAAAUGCCGGAAAAUAAGCCGUUGAUCGUCUUUUCAAGCAAUAAUACCGCCAAUUUCAAGCAUUCAGUUGAAAGAAAUAACAUUACGCCGAUCAAAAAUACUCUUUUCGAAUCCCCAUGGAAUCCGCAACCAUCACUCAACGAGACCUUGACGGUCGAUGAGGAAUUCGAUGAAAGUUAUAGUCGCGGAAGAUCCCCUUCUGUCAGUUUUCUCGAAGAAAUCAUCACCCUCAAUGAAACUAUAACGAUUUCGGACGAGGAAGCAAUCGAGACACCGAAGUUACAGGAUAACAUCAUCCGCAGGAUGAAUUACAAGGAGGUUAAAAAUUCUCAUACUUAACAAAAGGGACACGCGGAGCUUGAAAAUAAAUUCAACGGGAGAAUGAAGAAAAAAAUCGGAUCUCAGUUGCGUUGUUCGAUAAAAAGCGACGAUUCAGCCAUUGAAUCAGUCAAAUUAUCAAAUUCGGUAUUUGAAGUUCAACCACCCAAUUCUGAAAAGUUUUUACCAUCUUAGCCGCGCUGAUCACGUCGAUAUUAUUCAAUGGGUAACGUAGUCCCUGUUUUUUUACGCCGUAGACUUAAGUUCGAUCAAAAGUGUGCUGGAAACAUGAACGUAUUAUUUGAAUUGUUUACAAUCGUUCUUACGGAUAUCCGGUUUUACUAGAAAUAUUUGAUUCUUAUUCUCUUAGGUCAUAAAUCUUCACCUGUCUUAAUCAAGAAUCACGCAUGCAUUUGUAUAAAUAUCUUUUAUUAGAUUUAUAGCGUAUGAUAUAUCCUGUUAUUAGUACAAUUAUACAUUAGUUCUAAGAUGAAGAUUCACGCUCAUUUAAACAGUAGCUAACAACUCGUUUUCGCAUUCAACGAACGCGUUAAAUCAUAGUUAUUUUUUCUUAGAAUAAAGAAUUUUUCACAU
rnacentral:misc_RNA from 1 species